UACGUAGGUGGCAAGCGUUGUCCGGAUUUACUGGGCGUAAAGAGCGCGCAGGCGGUCGUUCAAGUCGCGUGUGAAAGCCCCCGGCUCAACUGGGGAGGGUCACGCGAUACUGAUCGACUCGAAGGCAGGAGAGGGUAGUGGAAUUCCCGGUGUAGUGGUGAAAUGCGCAGAUAUCAGGAGGAACACCAAUGGCGAAGGCAGCUCGCUGGGACGUGACUGACGCUGAGACGCGAAAGCGUGGGGAGCAAACAGG
rnacentral:rRNA from 1 species